AGUGAACGCUGGCGGCAGGCCUAACACAUGCAAGUCGAACGGCAGCACGGCAGUAGCAAUACUGUGGGUGGCGAGUGGCGGACGGGUGAGGAAUACAUCGGGAUCUACCCUGUUGUGGGGGAUAACGUAGGGAAACUUACGCUAAUACCGCAUAAGAACUGAGGUUGAAAGCGGCGGACCGCAAGGCGUCGCGCGAUUGGAUGAACCGAUGUCCGAUUAGCUAGUUGGCGGGGUAAAGGCCCACCAAGGCGACGAUCGGUAGCUGGUCUGAGAGGACGAACAGCCACACUGGAACUGAGACACGGUCCAGACUCCUAUGGGAGGCAGCAGUGAGGAAUAUUGGUCAAUGGGAGCAAUCCUGAACCAGCAAUGCCGCGUGUGGGAUGACAGGGCUUCGCCUUGUAAACCACUGUCGGACGGGACGAAAGGAGGCCUCGGGCCUCUGGGACGGUACCGUCGAAAGGAAGGGUCGGCUAACUACGUGCCAGCAGCCG
rnacentral:rRNA from 1 species